rnacentral:rRNA from 1 species
UGGGGAAUAUUGCACAAUGGGCGCAAGCCUGAUGCAGCCAUGCCGCGUGUGUGAAGAAGGCCUUCGGGUUGUAAAGCAUUUUCAGCGGGGAGGAAGGCGUGAAGGUUAAUAACCUUGGCGAUUGACGUUACCCGCAGAAGAAGCACCGGCUAACGCCGUGCCAGCAGCCGCGGUAAUACGGAGGGUGCAAGGGUUAAUCGGAAUUACUGGGCGUAAAGCGCACGCAGGCGGUCUGUCAAGUCGGAUGUGAAAUCCCCGGGCUCAACCUGGGAACUGCAUUCGAAGCUGGCAGGCUAGAGUCUUGUAGAGGGGGGUAGAAUUCCAGGUGUUGCGGUGAAAUGCGUAGAAGUCUGGAGGAAUACCGGUGGCGAAGGCGGCCCCCUGGCCAAAGACUGACGCUCAGGUGCGAAAGCGUGGGGGGCAAACAGG